GGACAUUGAUACUUAGAGCAACAUCAUAUCGCUCAUCGAAGUUGGUGGUUGCAGCUACAUUGAUGACAAUGUCGACUUCUUUCCAUAAUGUUUCUAAGAGAUUAGAGUCUCCAAUCCCGAAGUUUUCAUGAAUUAUGUCUCCUGCUAUAGGACAUACUUUAUCUGAAAUGAAUGAAUUAAAACUUGCACCAUGCUUCUCUUUCAGAACCUUGAACAAUUCCUUGCCUAUCACCUCGGUCUGAAGUCGCUGAUUAGCCGACUUGUCGUCGGCGCUCCUCACUAGUAGGAAGAGCUUCUUGACAUCAGGCUGAAUCCUGAGCACCUUCUCAACAAAUAUUUUUGCUAGAUAACCAGUAGAGCCAGUGAUCAAGAUGUUCCUCUCCUUCAAAC
rnacentral:misc_RNA from 1 species